GUUGGACUAACUAUAGUAUUUCUUACAGAGUUGGUGUAAAAUUACCUACUGUUGAGGUGAGAUACAAAAACCUGUCUGUGGAAGCAGAAUGCAAGGUGGUGCAAGGGAAGCCACUCCCAACGCUCUGGAACUGUAUUGCAAGCAUGCUAUCUGUUUUCACAAAGGUUAUCCAGUGCAAGUCUCAAAAAGCCAAGAUAAGCAUUGUGAAGGAUGUCAGUGGCAUUAUCAAACCGUCAAGGCUCACUCUUCUUCUUGGGCCUGCAGGCUGUGGGAAAACC